rfam:Parcubacteria (Falkowbacteria) bacterium GW2011_GWE1_38_31 TS91_C0006, whole genome shotgun sequence.
GGGAAAAUCACAUUAAGAGUAUAUGGCGGAUGCCUUGACAUAAGAGAACGAUGAAGGACGUAGCAGCCUGCGAUAAGCUUCGGUGAGGUGGCAAGCAACCCUUGACCCGAAGAUUUCCGAAUGGGGAAACCUCCCCGGUUGUAGACCGGGGGUCCGCUGGCUGAACACAUAAGCCAGUGAGACGAUUACCCGGUGAAUUGAAACAUCUUAGUAGCCGGAGGAAAAGAAAAAAAGCCUGAGCAAUCAGGAAUAUUCCGUGAGUAGUGGCGAGCGAAAACGGAGGAGUCUAAACCGAUUUAACCGCGUCGCGUGGUGCACUUGUGCAUUUUACGCGACAGAAGGAUUCAGGUCCAUAUGUUUUUUCGGUGUUGCAAGAAUAUGCUUUCAUUUCCUGUAUUAAAUGGGGCAGAGACAUAACAAUAACAUCCCUAGUUGAAGCGAGCUGGAAAGCUCCGCCAGAGAAGGUGAAAGCCCUGUAACAGCAAAAGGGGUUAUUGCUCUGCGGCAUAUCUCUUAAGUACUGCGGGACUCGUGAAAUCCCGUGGGAAGCCGGGUCGACUAUGACCCAAGACUAAAUAUCUCUUAUGAUCGAUAGUGAACAAGUACCGUGAGGGAAAGGUGAAAAGCAGCCCGGUGAGGGCGGUGAAAUAGUACCUGAAACCAUAUACUUACAAGGAGUUGGAGCCCCGGUUCGCCGGGGUGACAGCGUGCCUAUUGAAGAAUGAGCCAACGAGUUUGUUCUAUGUGGCUUGACUAAGUUCCGUUUGGAAUGGAGUCGAAGUGAAAGCGAGGGUUAAUAGCCCGUAUCCACUUAUUUUGCAGAUACCAGGCCUUCUGGUGGCUGCAAAAUAACGUGGAAUGUCGCAUGGACAAGACCCGAAGCCGGGUGAUCUAGCCAUGGCCAGGUUGAAGUAGUACGAAAGUACUAUGGAGGACCGAACCCACAAGCCGUUCAAUACUUGGGGAUGAGCUGUGGCUGGCGGAGAAAUUCCAAUCGAACUCGGCAAUAGCUGGUUCUCCUCGAAAUAGCUUUAGGGCUAGCGUCGGAUGCUGACUACUGGGGGUAGAGCACUGAAUGAGACAGGGGCCGCAAGGUACCCUUCUUAACCAAACUCCGAAUACCAGUAGGUGAAGUCCGGCAGUCAGACUAUGGGGGCUAAGCUUCAUCAGUCAAAAGGGAAACAGCCCAGACCGCAAUCUAAGGUCCCAAAAUAUAUGCUAAGUGUAAAAGGUGGUGUCGCGACUGCGACAACUAGGAGGUUGGCUUAGAAGCAGCCAUCCUUUAAAGAUAGCGUAAUAGCUCACUAGUCUAGUUGUCUCGCGCCGAAAAUGUACCGGGGCUAAGCAUAUUACCGAAGAUGCGGGCCAGCUAUGCUGGUAGACACGAAGAAAACGAAAAAUUACGAAAAAAACGAAAAAUAUUAGUUUCGUUACUUUCGUUUAAUUUCGUUAAGUUUCGUGUUUACCAGCAUAGCUGGCGGUAGAGGAGCAUUCUAUACGCGCAGAAGCCGAAUUGUGAAGUUUGGUGGAGCUUAUAGAAGAGAGAAUGUUGGCAUGAGUAGCAAAAAGGCGGGUGAGAACCCCGCCCACCGUAAGUCUCAGGGUUCCUGGGCAACGUAAAUCGUCCCAGGGUUAGUCGGUCCUAAGGCGAGGCCUCUGUAGUGGGGGCGUAGUCGAUGGAUUAGCUGGUCAAUAUUCCAGCACUGCUGCAGUUUUCCGAUGGGGAGACGCAGUUCUAGAGUUUAUACGUGCUAUGGUAUGUACGUUGUUUGUUUUAAAGCGCGAUCCAGGCAAAUCCGGAUCAACAGCGCGGAGAAAUCGACUAAAGAUGAAGCCUCGGCGGAUUCAAAUAAGCAAAAGAGCUGCCUAGAAAAACCUCUAGGGCUAAGGCUGCAGCAACCGUACCGCAAACCAACACAGGUAGACGAGGCGAGUAGCCUCAGGUGAACGAGAGAAUCUUCGUUAAGGAACUCGGCAAAACAGCGGCCGUAAUUUAGAGAUAAGGCCUGCCCAUAGCAAUAUGGGCCGCAGCUAAAGAAGCCCGAGCGACUGUUUAUCAAAAACACAGCUCCCUGCUAACUCGUAAGAGGAUGUAUAGGGGGUGACGCCUGGCCAGUGUCCGAACGUUAAGGGGAGAGGUUAGACCUUCGGGUUGAAGCUUUGAACUGAAGCGCGGAUGAACGCCGGCCGUAACUAUAACGGUCCUAAGGUAGCGAAAUUCCUUGUCAGGUAAGUUCUGACCUGCACGAAUGGCGUAACGACUUGGGUACUGUCUCAACGAAGAACUCGGCGAAAUUGCAAGACGAGUAAAGAUGCUCGUUAACCAUAGCUGGACGAAAAGACCCCGUGAAGCUUUACUAUAGCUUAAUAUUGGGUUAUGACUAUGCAUGUUCAGAAUAGGUGGGAGCCGCAAGGCAACAGUGAGAUACCACCCUUGUAUAUUUGUAACCCUAACCCUCAGGCCUUGAAUCAGGUCAGGGGACAGUAUUUGGUGGGUAGUUUGUCUGGGGCGGAUGCCUCCCAAAGAGUAACGGAGGCGUUUACAAAGGUUGGCUAUCCCGGAAUGGAAACCCGGGAGAUAGUGUAAAGGCAAAAGCCAGCUUUACUGCAAGACCAGCAAGUCGAGCAGUUGCGAAAGCAGAACUUAGUGAUCCGACCGUUCGAUAUAGGACGGCGGAAGCUCAUCGGAUAAAAGCUACUCCGGGGAUAACAGGCUAGUCACGCCCAAGCGUCCACAGCGACGGCGUGGUUCGGCACCUCGAUGUCGGCUCGUCGCAUCCUGGGGGUGAAGAAGCUCCCAAGGGUUGGGCUGUUCGCCCAUUAAAGCGGCACGCGAGCUGGGUUCAGACCGUCGUAAGACAGGUCGGUCUCCUAUCCACUAUGGUCGUGGAAACUUGAGAAGGCUCUUCCCUAGUACGAGAGGACCGGGAAGGACGAAGCUCUAGUGUGCCGGCUGUCCCACCAGGGGCAUUGCCGGGUAGCUACCUUCGGUUUGGAUAAGCGCUGAAGGCAUAUAAGCGCGAAGCCGUCUUCAAGAUUAGGUUUCAUAGAGUCGUCGGAGAACACGACGUUAAUAGGCUCUAGGUGUAAGUGCAGUAAUGCAUUCAGCCGAGGAGUACUAAUCACUCAAAUGAUUUUCCCAC